AGAUGCUACACAGAUACUCUUAAGAUCUUAAAAACAACUGUGCAGAAAUUGCUCAUCUGGUAGGCUGUUCAGGGUCAGCAGGAAAUGGUGCAAUAAUUGGACUACAGAUGUCACAGCAACAAGACUUUGGAGUGAUUUGGGCAAGAAAACUGGGACAUCUGGAGUUCAGAAGUCGAGGAAAAUGGGGAAGAACCAGGAAGAUGAAUACAUGAUCAUCAGCUACACAAAAGAACGGAGCAAAAAGAAGCCGGGAUUUGGGCACAGGCGUCUGGCAAGGAGGCCGGCAGCAGGGCUAAUGAAGCAUUUGCGGCGUGGGACAUUUGCCAACGCAACAAAGAAGAUGUGCUUGGGCUCUGCAGAUGUGCCAGGGCCCCCAGAGCAAAAUAAUGACAUAAUCACCAUCAGUGUCACAGACCAGACUGUACACAAGGUGACAGGGGAGAGGAGGCCUGUAAUGCGCACACAGGGAGGCCUCCCAUGGCCCACGACGGCUGCUGCCCUGAGGGUCCGAAUGCAGGCAGGACUAUCCACCUAACGAUUUCUGCCUAGAUCUUAAAUCCAAAGGUGAGGUUUGCACCCGUCUUUGGUGGGUGUUUUCUGUCCAACCCUAGCGAGGCAACAGAAAUCUGAAAAGCUUAAGUGAGAUUUUAACUGAAUGGAGGGGCAAAAGGAAAAGUGGCAGCAGGAGUUGAGUCAAACUCCCUGUCUUCUGCUAGAAGUGCGCAAACUUCCAAGAACCCGUGCCUAGUCACACAAGCGCAAGGCAGAAAUAUGAUCACGGAUGUCAAUGUUGCACAGUGCAAAGAAAAUGCACAACAUAUUUUGGGGAGCCUGUUUUGGGGUGGGGGGCACAAAUGGGCAGUCAAUGGGCCAUCUCAAAGUGAGUGCAAAAGCAACGUUAAGGCACGAGAAAGUCACCCCUGCUCAUUUUCAACAAGGUCUCUCAGCAGGCCUUGUCACCUGCCAGUGGCUCUUGCUCAGUAAGGUGGGUGUGUUAGUACAGCUGUCUGGCUUUUAAGUGACUUUUGUCAGUUUGAAAGUGAAAGUCUGUUUGAGGAGCUGAAAGAACAAUAGCUCAGAGCCCGGAAGAAGAGCUUGUAGCACAAAGAACUUGGCUACACUAGUGUCCCUUUUCAUUGCUUCUCAUGAAAGAUUCAUAAGAAGAACUUUAAUUUUUUAUGACCCCCUUUUUGGUAUGACUAUAUUAGUUGUGUCAACUUCCAUAUACAGGUUCUCUUUAAAUACCAAAAG